rnacentral:rRNA from 1 species
CCUACGGGAGGCAGCAGUGGGGAAUAUUGGACAAUGGGCGAAAGCCUGAUCCAGCCAUGCCGCGUGAGUGAAGAAGGCCUUAGGGUUGUAAAGCUCUUUCAGCGGGGAAGAUAAUGACGGUACCCGCAGAAGAAGCCCCGGCUAACUUCGUGCCAGCAGCCGCGGUAAU